rnacentral:rRNA from 1 species
AACGAACGCUGGCGGCAUGCCUAACACAUGCAAGUCGAACGAGACCUUCGGGUUUAGUGGCGCACGGGUGCGUAACGCGUUGGAACCUGCCUUUUGGUUCGGAAUAACUCAGAGAAAUUUGAGCUAAUACCGGAUGAUGUCUUCGGACCAAAGAUUUAUCGCCUUUAGAUGGGCCCGCGUUGGAUUAGCUAGUUGGUGGGGUAAAGGCCUACCAAGGCGACGAUCCAUAGCUGGUCUGAGAGGAUGAUCAGCCACACUGGGACUGAGACACGGCCCAGACUCCUACGGGAGGCAGCAGUGGGGAAUAUUGGACAAUGGGCGAAAGCCUGAUCCAGCAAUGCCGCGUGAGUGAUGAAGGCCUUAGGGUUGUAAAGCUCUUUUACCCGAGAUGAUAAUGACAGUAUCGGGAGAAUAAGCUCCGGCUAACUCCGUG